UUGAACGCUGGCGGCAUGCUUUACACAUGCAAGUCGAACGGUAGAGGCUUCGGCCUUGAGAGUGGCGAACGGGUGAGUAAUGCAUCGGAACAUACCCAGUCGUGGGGGAUAACGUAGCGAAAGUUACGCUAAUACCGCAUACGUCCUGAGGGAGAAAGCGGGGGAUCGCAAGACCUCGCGCGAUUGGAGUGGCCGAUGUCUGAUUAGCUAGUUGGUGGGGUAAAGGCCUACCAAGGCGACGAUCAGUAGCGGGUCUGAGAGGAUGAUCCGCCACACUGGAACUGAGACACGGUCCAGACUCCUACGGGAGGCAGCAGUGGGGAAUUUUGGACAAUGGGGGCAACCCUGAUCCAGCCAUUCCGCGUGAGUGAAGAAGGCCUUCGGGUUGUAAAGCUCUUUCAGCUGGAACGAAACGGUAGUCUCUAACAUAGGCUGCUAAUGACGGUACCAGCAGAAGAAGCACCGGCUAACUACGU
rnacentral:rRNA from 1 species